rnacentral:rRNA from 1 species
GAUGAACGCUGGCGGCGGGCCUAAUACAUGCAAGUCGAGCGAAUGGAUUAAGAGCUUGCUCUUAUGAAGUUAGCGGCGGACGGGUGAGUAACACGUGGGUAACCUGCCCAUAAGACUGGGAUAACUCCGGGAAACCGGGGCUAAUACCGGAUAACAUUUUGAUCCGCAUGGUUCGACAUUGAAAGGCGGCCUCGGCUGUCACUUCUGGAUGGACCCGCGUCGCAUUAGCUAGUUGGUGAGGUAACGGCUCACCAAGGCACCGAUGCGUAGCCGACCUGAGAGGGUGAUCGGCCACACUGGGACUGAGACACGGCCCAGACUCCUACGGGAGGCAGCAGUAGGGAAUCUUCCGCAAUGGACGAAAGUCUGACGGAGCAACGCCGCGUGAGUGAUGAAGGCUUUCGGGUCGUAAAACUCUGUUGAUAGGGAAGAACAAGUGCUAGUUGAAUAAGCUGGCACCUUGACGGUACCUAACCAGAAAGCCACGGCUAACUACGUGCCAGCCGCCGCGGUAA